rnacentral:lncRNA from 1 species
GGAAAAUUCUAUAGAUGUCUAUUAGGUCUGCUUGUUGCAGAGCUGAGUUCAGGUCCUGGAUAUCCUUGUUAACCUUCUGAGUCAGGACAAAUAUCCUUACAGUCAAUUCAUUUAUUGAUUGCCUAUUAAGUGCUAGGUACUGUUCAGGUACUGAAGAUAACAAAACAGACAAAAUUCCUACUUGAAUGGAGUUUAUUCACAAGUUGAAAGAAAGAGACAAUAAACCAUAAUAAAAAUAUAUAAGAUAUUAGAUAAUAAGUCCUAUGGCAAAAAUAAAUCAAUAGCAGGAGCUGAAUAUUUGUAGUGGGGAGGAAGUCAACAUUAAAAAGGAUGGUCAGGGGAGGCCCUAGCUUGAUGUUUGAGCAAAGAGCAGAGGAAGUGAGGAAGUAAAUACCACAGACAUAUAGGAAAAAAAAAAACUUAGAAAGCAGAAAGAACCAUGAAUAAACAUUUUGUAGUAAAAAUAUGCAGGUAGUGAUCCAGGAUUGACAAGGAGAACCAGGUGGCUGAAGCCAAAUGAGCAAGGGGGAGAGCAGAAGUUGAGAUCAAAGAAUAAAAUGGGUGGGGAAAGGUGGAGAGAGACAGAGGGUGGGGAAUAGAGUGGCUAUUUAGGUCUAGCAGCCCUUGGGCUCAUUUGCUGAAUGAGAUGGGAAGUUAUUGGACAGUAUUGAACGGAGAAGAAUAUCAUCUGACUUGUGCUUUAAAAGAAUCUUUGUGACAGCUAUAACAAGAAGAGACUAUAGGGGAUCAAGGAUGUUAGCAGGAAGUCCAAUUUAGCUGCAAUUACAGAUAUUCAUAUCAACUGUGGUAGCAAUAAAAAUGGUGAGAGUGGUGGAAUUCCGGCCAUAUUUUGAAGGCAAAGUCAAUAGGAUUUGCUAAUGAAUUAAGCAGUAUGCAAUGUAAUAGUUGUCUCCCAAGACUAUGGGUAAGAACACUACCCACUGAAACACUGGCAGUGCUUUUUAAAAGCCCAGUGUUGGGCCAGGAUGCUUGUUUUUAAAGCUUCAGCCACUCAAGUAGUUUACGGGAUAAUACCCAAGUAUUUUCCUAAAGGAAAUUUGGGAACUUGUAGACCAGUAAAAUAUCGUUUUUGCC